rnacentral:rRNA from 1 species
GAUGAACGCUAGCUACAGGCUUAACACAUGCAAGUCGAGGGGAAACGAUAGAGAAGGCUUGCUUUUUCUAGGCGUCGACCGGCGCACGGGUGCGUAACGCGUAUCCAACCUGCCCACCACUUGGGGAUAACCUUGCGAAAGUAAGACUAAUACCCAAUGAUAUCUCUAGAAGACAUCUGAAAGGGAUUAAAGAUUUAUCGGUGAUGGAUGGGGAUGCGUCUGAUUAGCUUGUUGGCGGGGUAACGGCCCACCAAGGCGACGAUCAGUAGGGGUUCUGAGAGGAAGGUCCCCCACAUUGGAACUGAGACACGGUCCAAACUCCUACGGGAGGCGGCAGUGAGGAAUAUUGGUCAAUGGGCGAGAGCCUGAACCAGCCAAGUAGCGUGCAGGAUGACGGCCCUAUGGGUUGUAAACUGCUUUUAUAAGGGAAUAAAGUGAGUCUCGUGAGACUUUUUGCAUGUACCUUAUGAAUAAGGACCGGCUAAUUCCGUGCCAGCAGCCGCCGCGG